rnacentral:rRNA from 1 species
GACGAACGCUGGCGGCGUGCCUAAUACAUGCAAGUAGAACGCUGAAGAGAGGGGCUUGCUCUUCUUGGAUGAGUUGCGAACGGGUGAGUAACGCGUAGGUAACCUGCCUUGUAGCGGGGGAUAACUAUUGGAAACGAUAGCUAAUACCGCAUAACAAUGGAUGACACAUGUCAUUUAUUUGAAAGGGGCAAUUGCUCCACUACAAGAUGGACCUGCGUUGUAUUAGCUAGUAGGUGAGGUAAUGGCUCACCUAGGCGACGAUACAUAGCCGACCUGAGAGGGUGAUCGGCCACACUGGGACUGAGACACGGCCCAGACUCCUACGGGAGGCAGCAGUAGGGAAUCUUCGGCAAUAGGGGCAACCCUGACCGAGCAACGCCGCGUGAGUGAAGAAGGGUGUCGGAUCGUAAAGCUCUGUUGUAAGUCAAGAACGGGUGUGAGAGUGGAAAGUUCACACUGUGACGGUAGCUUACCAGAAAGGGACGGCUAACUACGUG